AAUCAACGCUGGCGGCGUGCCUCAGACAUGCAAGUCGAACGAUUAAAGCUCUCUUCGGAGAGUGUAUAGAGUGGCGCACGGGUGAGUAACACGUAAGUAAUCUACCUUUGAGUGGGGAAUAACCCGGGGAAACCCGAGCUAAUACCGCAUAAUGCAGCGGCACCGCAAGGUGACAGUUGUUAAAGGAGCAAUCCGCUUAAAGAGGAGCUUGCGGCAGAUUAGCUAGNGGUAAGGUAAUGGCUUACCAAGGCUUCGAUCUGUAUCCGGCCUGAGAGGGCGGUCGGACACACUGACACUGAAUAACGGGUCAGACUCCUACGGGAGGCAGCAGUCGGGAAUUUGGGCAAUGGGCGAAAGCCUGACCCAGCAACGCCGCGUGAAGGAUGAAGUAUUUCGGUAUGUAAACUUCGAAAGAAUGGGAAGAAUCAAUGACGGUACCAUUUAUAAGGUCCGGCUAACUACGUGCCAGCAGCCGCAGUAAU
rnacentral:rRNA from 1 species